AGAGUUUGAUCCUGGCUCAGGACGAACGCUGGCGGUAUGCCUAAUACAUGCAAGUCGAACGCUGAAGCACUCUGCUUGCAGAGUGUGGAUGAGUGGCGAACGGGUGAGUAACACGUGGGGAACCUGCCCAUAAGAGGGGGAUAACAUCCGGAAACGGGUGCUAAUACCGCAUAGGUGAUCAUAACGCAUGCUUAGAUCAUUAAAGAUGGCUUCGGCUAUCGCUUAUGGAUGGCCCCGCGGCGUAUUAGCUAAUUGGUGAGGUAAUGGCUCACCAAGGCUGUGAUACGUAGCCGACCUGAGAGGGUGAUCGGCCACACUGGAACUGAGACACGGCCCAGACUCCUACGGGAGGCAGCAGUAGGGAAUCUUCCACAAUGGGCGAAAGCCUGAUGGAGCAAUACCGCGUGAGUGAAGAAGGUCUUCGGAUCGUAAAGCUCUGUUGUUAGAGAAGAACAAGAGGUGUAGUAACUGGCACCUCCUUGACGGUAUCUAACCAGAAAGUCACGGCUAACUACGUGCCAGCAGCCGCGGUAAUACGUAGGUGACAAGCGUUGUCCGGAUUUAUUGGGCGUAAAGCGAGCGCAGGCGGUCUUUUAAGUCUGAUGUGAAAGCCCACGGCUCAACCGUGGAGGGUCAUUGGAAACUGGAAGACUUGAAUGCAGAAGAGGAAAGUGGAAUUCCAUGUGUAGCGGUGAAAUGCGUAGAUAUAUGGAGGAACACCAGUGGCGAAGGCGACUUUCUGGUCUGUAAUUGACGCUGAGGCUCGAAAGCGUGGGGAGCGAACAGGAUUAGAUACCCUGGUAGUCCACGCCGUAAACGAUGAGUGCUAAGUGUUGGAGGGUUUCCGCCCUUCAGUGCUGGAGCUAACGCAUUAAGCACUCCGCCUGGGGAGUACGGCCGCAAGGCUGAAACUUAAAUGAAUUGACGGGGGC
rnacentral:rRNA from 1 species